CCUAGGGCUGUGUGUGAUCUCACACUGGUCUGCUUCUCCAGCUCAGCUGCGCCUACCCUCUCUCUCCCACCCUCCUUCCUCCAGAUAAUAUAUAAGCUUCUGUUCAUCUCAUGAACAUCAUCUCUUCUGCUCUGCACAUCAGCAGUGUGAGAUAAGUGCACCCAGAGAGGAGUCUCGCCCGGUGCAGGCACACCAGUCCAUGUGGCCCAACAUCCCUCCCUAAGUCCAGCUCCUCCCUGCCUGCACGAGACCUCUGCACCCUGCCCACCACCUGGGAAUGGCGUCCAAGCACUACCAUGCUCGUCCUUCUGGUGCUGCUCUGAGAAAUGCGUUCAAAUGUCGCUGCUGUCAGAGAUGAUGGGACAGGACAGCAUCAUUAAAGAGGAACACAGUGUUCUGCCCAGUCACACAGCCUCACAGUCCUUCUCAGCACAGCAGCCCGGCAACCCCUGGGAGUCAGCGCUCUGGAUGACGGUCUCCCACGAUGUCACAGACGCUUCAGGAUGACAUGGGAACUUGGGGGAGGGAGCGAGUCGUGGUGUUUGGGGUGGGGGAGGUGUCACCGAAUUGGGGAAACAGGAACAGACACUGGGAGGCUGGGGGAGAGGGGGCAUUCUCAGU
rnacentral:lncRNA from 1 species